rnacentral:lncRNA from 1 species
CUCCGACAGCUUGGCGUAGGUGUUCUUGAUGUUGUCCAGGUUCUUCACAGCAUCCCCAAAGGAGGUGAGCACUUUCUUGCCGUGGGCGCGGACCAUGGGGUUGCCAAGGAUGGCAGUGGGGCUGGAGAGGUUCCCAAAGGACGCAAAGAACCUCUGGGUCCAGGGGUAGACGAUCAGCAGCCUGGCCAGGGCUUCGGCCCCACAUUCGGCCACAUUGACCUUGCCCCAGAGGCCGGUGAUGAGCUGCUUCUCCUCAGCAGUCCAGUGCACCAUGGCGGCGGUUGGAGGGUAGCGUGUGGCUGUCGGUACGGAGGAGGUCUGGGCUCUUGCUCCCGUGGGGAUAGCACGCUGGUGAGCGGCCGUCUGUGUCCCCACUUUUAUCCGCUCCGCCGGGCC